rnacentral:rRNA from 1 species
GAUGAACGCUGGCGGCGUGCCUAAUACAUGCCAGUCGAGCGAACAGACGAGGAGCUUGCUCCUUUGACGUUAGCGGCGGACGGGUGAGUAACACGUGGAUAACCUACCUAUAAGACUGGGAUAACUUCGGGAAACCGGAGCUAAUACCGGAUAAUAUAUUGAACCGCAGGGUUCAAUAGUGAAAGACGGUUUUGCUGUCACUUAUAGAUGGUUCCGCGCCGCAUUAGCUAGUUGGUAAGGUAACGGCUUACCAAGGCAACGAUGCGUAGCCGACCUGAGAGGGUGAUCGGCCACACUGGAACUGAGACACGGUCCAGACUCCUACGGGAGGCAGCAGUAGGGAAUCUUCCGCAAUGGGCGAAAGCCUGACGGAGCAACGCCGCGUGAGUGAUGAAGGUCUUCGGAUCGUAAAACUCUGUUAUUGGGGAAGAACAGAUGUGUAAGUAACUAUGCACGUCUUGACGGUACCUAAUCAGAAAGCAACGGCUAACUACGUG